UUUCAUGGAGUUGUAGGUUUAGGUUUUUAAAAUCAAAACCUCUCUAUUUCGAUUUCAUGGAGUUGUAGGGCUAGGUUUUAAAACCAUAAGCUCUUUCAUGGAGUUGUAGGAUUAGGUUUUUAAAACCAGAAGCUCUCUAUUUUGAUUUCAUGAAGUUUAUUUUGAAUUCAUGGAGUUGUAGGGUUAGGUUUUUAAAACUAGAACCUAUCGCUCCCACCCGCCAGUCACUCAACCCUCACCUUCAACUCUGAAAAAUUCCUAUUGCCCACCAUCUCCCGCUGGCAAAGAAAACGAGGCCACAUGAGGAGUUUUAAGAUUUUGCUUCUCCUCUUCUUCGCCAAUUUUAUGAUUUCACGAGGUUUUUGCACAGUUUUUAGGGGUUUCAGGAACAGGAAUUGAAGGAGAUUUCAUUAAAUUUUCAGUUUUAAGAUCUUAUUUUGGGGUACUACUCUGUUUCUGAUUCGAUCGACCAUCGAUUUUUGUUUUGGUGAAGAUCGUACAAAACCCUUGCGAGUUGCUUAGUCUUUUUAAUUCUAAGGUAGUUGUGUGCACCUGGUUUUAGAUUCUGGACUUGACCUGCUUUAUCUGAGUUAUAAAUGGAGAGCUAGAAGCUUUAUAUGGUAUUGAUACUUAAUCGUUUAAAUGGAAAACCCCAGCCUGACUUAAAUGUUCAAUAUGCCAUCCAUUUUAUGAAGAAUUAAUGAAGUUUGAAUUUUUAAAGAAGUGAUGAAAUUGGAAGGUAAAAGUAUGAAGCAAAUAAUGGAUAUUUAUGUGGUGUGCAACAGCAGGCCAAGGUUGUUCCUAAACUAAGGCCUCAGAUAUUAGAUUCUUUGUUUGCAAACAUGAAGGAACAGAGGAUGAAGACAUCAUCUCAUCAGAUGAGAAGGGGUCGAUUUCAGCAACAGCAGUGGAAAAGGGAUCGAUUUAACAGUUAUUCCCACUAACUAGACCUAUGUUGAUCAUUGUGCAAGGACAUGUGAGAUCAUACGGGUGUUAAAAAUUGUACCCCAGCCAACCAUGUGGUGCAAAGUAGUGGAUUUAUCUCUAGCACCCAAGUCUCUGAUUAUCAGCAGGAAACAGUCCAUUCUUUGUUUUGCUUCCUUCAGUACUUUUCUCUUCAUUAACCUGACUAUCUCCAAUAUGGAAACUUGUAGAUAUUUUCUUUCAAUUUUUUGAUCUGAGAUUUGGAUUAGUUUGUUUCUCAUCUAGUUUGUAUUGGGAUGGUUGUUAAAUUCAUUGGUGACCAUUUAGCAGCUAA